UACAGAGGGUGCGAGCGUUAAUCGGAAUUACUGGGCGUAAAGGGUGCGUAGGUGGUUAGAUAAGUUGGAUGUGAAAUACCUGGGCUUAACCUGGGGGCUGCAUACAAUACUGUUUAACUUGAGUUUUGGAGAGGAAAAUAGAAUUUCCGGUGUAGCGGUGAAAUGCGUAGAUAUCGGAAGGAAUACCAAUGGCGAAGGCAAUUUUCUGGCCAAUGACUGACACUGAGGCACGAAAGCAUGGGGAGCAAAC
rnacentral:rRNA from 1 species